AGAGUUUGAUCAUGGCUCAGGAUGAACGCUAGCGGCAGGCCUAAUACAUGCAAGUCGAACGAUAGUGAGAAGCUUGCUUCUCACGAAAGUGGCGCACGGGUGCGUAACGCGUAUGCAACCUACCUUAAUCAGGGGGAUAGCCCGAAGAAAUUCGGAUUAACACCGCAUAAAAUCACAGUAUAGCAUUAUACAAUGAUCAAAUAUUUAUAGGAUUAAGAUGGGCAUGCGUGACAUUAGUUAGUUGGCGGGGUAACGGCCCACCAAGACCACGAUGUCUAGGGGAUCUGAGAGGAUGACCCCCCACACUGGUACUGAGACACGGACCAGACUCCUACGGGAGGCAGCAGUAAGGAAUAUUGGUCAAUGGAGGCAACUCUGAACCAGCCAUGCCGCGUGCAGGAAGACAGCCCUCUGGGUCGUAAACUGCUUUUAUUCGGGAAUAAACCUAUCUACGUGUAGAUAGCUGAAUGUACCGAAGGAAUAAGGAUCGGCUAACUCCGUGCCAGCAGCCGCGGUAAUACGGAGGAUCCAAGCGUUAUCCGGAUUUAUUGGGUUUAAAGGGUGCGUAGGCGGCUUAUUAAGUCAGGGGUGAAAGACGGUGGCUCAACCAUCGCAGUGCCUUUGAUACUGAUGAGCUUGAAUAUACUAGAGGUAGGCGGAAUGUGACAAGUAGCGGUGAAAUGCAUAGAUAUGUCACAGAACACCGAUUGCGAAGGCAGCUUACUAUGGUAUUAUUGACGCUGAGGCACGAAAGCGUGGGGAUCAAACAGGAUUAGAUACCCUGGUAGUCCACGCCCUAAACGAUGAAUACUCGCUGUAAGCGAUAUACCGUUAGCGGCUAACCGAAAGCGUUAAGUAUUCCACUGGGGAAGUACGCUUCGCAGAGUGAACUUAAAGGAUUGACGG
rnacentral:rRNA from 1 species